rnacentral:lncRNA from 1 species
UCUUAAUCAGCUUGGAUGUUCUUUGUUGAGCCUGAGUUGAGCUUUAUUUCUGCCUCUUUCUGAAAUGCUUACCUUAAAAGAGAGCCGAAAUACAAAAAGGUAGGCAAGUUUCAGUUGUGCUUUUGCCCAUAAUAUGGAGUUUUAAGUGGCCUCGCUUGACAAGAACAAAUUAAGCAGUUUUCUGAAAAAUGCAGCAUGCAGCUGCUACUGAAAAUCACUGCUCAUGAUUACACCGAAUUCUCUUUUGUAGUGGAUUUUUGCCUGGCUGUCACCUAACUCUAAACAGGACCAUCAAAGGAAAGUUCCACCCCUACUCAUGGCUUGUGGGAUGCUUUUUGAAGUAACGGAGGACUCUUUUUCCUGCAAGACGUGGGCAGCACAUCCUGAAGGCUGUGGGGAGAGGAAGCUCUGCUGCAUGCUGUUUGCAACCUGCACACCUCCAUCAGCCCCAGUGGGCGCUCCCAUCAGCGGUGUGACCAAAGGAUAGGAACACCGUGCCUGUCCUGAGCUCAGGGGUGGCAUGGAAAUGGUACUCCUACAGCUGGGGCAGAGCAGGGCCUCUCCUGGCUACCUGGUGCUGUAGAGCUGCAUGUUCCAGGAGUAAUCACCGCUUUUAUUUUACUGGUGUGUAUGUGACCUUAGAUGCUAAAAGGGUCCUGAGCCUUUAAGCCCCCCAAAUCUCCCCCAUUUUAUGUACUUCCUGGGGUCAGAGGGGGUGCUUGAAUCCUUGAGGUUUUGUCUCUGCGUUUAACUGGUAUACUGCUGGUUUGUGUUCUUGGCACUAAAAACCAAGAGCUGUCAGAAUACAUAUAUGCUGUUCUAAGGUACUCUUUCCUUAAACAGCUGAAAUAGUUCAGCCUGUUUGACCAGACCAGGCUGUGAUAACACUGUUUUACACAAUUUAUUCUGAGCAGCUUUGCUUGCAGUUUUCCUGAUGGAUAACUUUCUCCCUGAAAUGGUACUAAACCCCAUGAAAUACAGCAGAUCUCUAUGAAGAAUUGAGGGACUCUGAUGUUUGCUUAAGUCAAUCUGCAGCAAUUCCAGGCAGGUUGUUCUGAGCUCUCUGAUUUGUACAUUGCAUUUUGAAUGUUUCCUAUUGGUAGCAUUGAGAAGGUUCCUGGUAGUUAAAUCCCCAAUGUGUAAGUGGAAUUAGGGGCCAUUGUAUGCAUCCCAGUUAUCUCUGACUGUUCUAACCUUAUUUGUGUAAAACAAUAAAACACCUAACCAUUAAAAGGAGAUGUGAUUC